UGGGGAAUAUUGCACAAUGGGCGCAAGCCUGAUGCAGCCAUGCCGCGUGUAUGAAGAAGGCCUUCGGGUUGUAAAGUACUUUCAGCGAGGAGGAAGGCGGUAAGGUUAAUAACCUUAUCGAUUGACGUUACUCGCAGAAGAAGCACCGGCUAACUCCGUGCCAGCAGCCGCGGUAAUACGGAGGGUGCAAGCGUUAAUCGGAAUUACUGGGCGUAAAGCGCACGCAGGCGGUCUGUCAAGUCGGAUGUGAAAUCCCCAGGCUCAACCUGGGAACUGCAUUCGAAACUGGCAGGCUAGAGUCUUGUAGAGGGGGGUAGAAUUCCAGGUGUAGCGGUGAAAUGCGUAGAGAUCUGGAGGAAUACCGGUGGCGAAGGCGGCCCCCUGGACAAAGACUGACGCUCAGGUGCGAAAGCGUGGGGAGCAAACA
rnacentral:rRNA from 1 species